rnacentral:rRNA from 1 species
GGAUUAGAUACCCUGGUAGUCCACGCCGUAAACGAUGGACACUAGGUGUGGGAGGUGUCGACUCCUCCCGUGCCGAAGCUAACGCAUUAAGUGUCCCGCCUGGGGAGUACGGCCGCAAGGCUAAAACUCAAAGGAAUUGACGGGGGCCCGCACAAGCAGCGGAGCAUGUGGUUUAAUUCGACGCAACGCGAAGAACCUUACCUGGGCUUGACAUGUACCUGACCGGUGUGGAAACACACCUUCCCUUCGGGGCAGGUUCACAGGUGGUGCAUGGCUGUCGUCAGCUCGUGUCGUGAGAUGUUGGGUUAAGUCCCGCAACGAGCGCAACCCCCGUCGCAUGUUGCCAGCGGUUCGGCCGGGGACUCAUGCGAGACUGCCGGUGACAAACCGGAGGAAGGUGGGGAUGACGUCAAGUCAUCAUGCCCCUUAUGUCCAGGGCUACACACGUGCUACAUUGGCGCCUACAAAGGGCUGCGAUACCGUGAGGUGGAGCGAAUCCCAAAAAGGGCGUCUCGGUUCGGAUUGGAGGCUGAAACUCGCCUCCAUGAAGGUGGAGUUGCUAGUAAUCGCGGAUCAGCAACGCCGCGGUGAAUACGUUCCCGGGCCUUGUACACACCGCCCGUCACACCACGAAAGCGGGCAACACCCGAAGCCGGUGGGCUAACCCUUACGGGAGGCAGCCGUCGAAGGUGGGGCUCGUGAUUGGGGUGAAGUCGUAACAAGGUAUC